rnacentral:rRNA from 1 species
AGGACGAACGCUGGCGGCGUGCUUAACACAUGCAAGUCGAACGGAAAGGCCCGCUUGCGGGUACUCGAGUGGCGAACGGGUGAGUAACACGUGGGCAACCUGCCCUCAGCUUCGGGAUAACACUUGGAAACAGGUGCUAAUACCGGAUAAUAACUUGUCAUCGCAUGGUGGUGGGUUCAAAGUUUUUCGGCUGAGGAUGGGCCCGCGGCCUAUCAGCUUGUUGGUGGGGUAAUGGCCUACCAAGGCGACGACGGGUAGCCGGCCUGAGAGGGCGACCGGCCACACUGGGACUGAGACACGGCCCAGACUCCUACGGGAGGCAGCAGUGGGGAAUAUUGCGCAAUGGGCGGAAGCCUGACGCAGCGACGCCGCGUGAGGGAUGACGGCCUUCGGGUUGUAAACCUCUUUCAGCUCUGACGAAGCGCAAGUGACGGUAGGAGCAGAAGAGCACCGGCCAACUACGCGCCAGCAGCCGCGUAA